GGUUGAUCCUGCCAGUAGUGAUAUGCUUGUUUCAAAGAUUAAGCCAUGCAUGUCUAAGUAUAAGCGAACUUAUACAGUGAAACUGCGGAUGGCUCAUUAAAACAGUUUGAAUUUAUUUGAUGAAUGUAUGAGAAUACUACUUGGAUAACCGUAGUAAUUCUAGAGCUAAUACAUGCAACGACGCCCGACCGUUCCACUACGGAAGGGCUGUAUUUAUUGGAUACCAAAACCAUCCUUCCCUCGGGAAGUUUUGUUUGAUGAUUCACAAUAACUGAUCGGAUCGCCACUGUGGUGGCGACAGGUCAUUCAACAUUCUGCCCUAUCAGCUUUCGAUGGUUGUGUAGUGGACAACCGUGGCCAUAACGGGUAACGGAGAAUCAGGGUUCGAUUCCGGAGAAGGAGCUUGAGAAUUGGCUACUACAUCUAAGGAAGGCAGCAGGCGCGCAAAUUACCCAAUCCCGAUUCGGGGAGGUAGUGACAAAAAAUAACAAUACCGGGCCUUUUUGGGCUUGGUAAUUGGAAUGAGGGAGAGUUAAACGGACCAUCGAGUAUCCAUUGGAGGGCAAGUCUGGUGCCAGCAGCUGCGGUAAUACCAGCUCCAAUAGCGUAUAUUAAAGUUGUUGCAGUUAAAAAGCUCGUAGUUGGACUUGUGUGCGCUGUCCGCGGGUGGCCUGCGCCCAAAAGGGCGUUUCGGUUCGGCCCCGGUGGCGCCUUGAAAUCUGCAGCUGGGAGGACGUUGGCCUUAACUGGUCGGCGACCGCACGCCGGCUGCUCGGUUACUGUGAGAAAAUUAGAGUGUUCAAGGCAGGCAUUGGGUGCAAUUGAAUACAUUAGCAUGGAAUAAUAAAAUAUGGCUCCUGCCGUAUUUUGUUGGUUUUGACUGGUGGGAGUAAUGGUAGAUAGGGACGGUUGGGGGUGCUAGUAUUGAGCGGCCAGAGGUGAAAUUCAUGGAUUCGCUCAAGACUAACUUAUGCGAAAGCAUUCACCAAGGACGUCCUCUUUAAUCAAGAACGAAAGUUGGGGGAUCGAAGACGAUCAGAUACCGUCGUAGUCUCAACCAUAAACUAUGUCGACUUGGGAUCGGCGGUAGUUUUUUCAUUAAGACACUGUCGGGACCACGGGAGAAAUCAAAGUGUCUGGACUCUGGGGGAAGUAUGGUCGCAAGGCUGAAACUUGAAGGAAUUGACGGAAGGGCACCACCAGGAGUGGAGCCUGCGG
rnacentral:rRNA from 1 species